GCCUGGGUGGCUCAGUCCGUUAAGCCUUUGACUUCCACUCAGGUCAUGAUCUCCAGUCCGUGGGUUCAAACCCCACGUCAGGCU
rnacentral:tRNA from 1 species